rnacentral:lncRNA from 1 species
CUGAAGUAAGGUGAGAUUCUGUGUCCCUCAUCCCUUUUAAGCACCUCAAUUCCACGCCAGGGCUGGGCAGCAGUUGCUGGGUUUAUUUUCAAUUUUGUUCAAAAUGCAAUAUGUCUGCUGAAAAUAUCCAACGUGCAAUUUCGCAUUACAACAGAACAAAACACUUUCUUCUAGCAGGGAAUACUGUAGGGCCCAAUUUUUCAUUGCUUGGAUUUCUAUUUUUAAGGUUUUUUCCACCCAAACAAAUGCUUUUGCUCUGACAGCGCUUAAUAACAAGUUUGACCUUGGAGUGUGUAAGUUGAAAUGAUUUCAGAGAACGCUCAGCAGAAAAUCAGGGGCCAGGGAUUUUUUUCCUUAUUUGAAUUUUAUUAUUUUGGGAGAAGGGGGAAUCCCUUGUUUCACAGAAGAAAUUACUUUUGAGCCGCAGAGUGAAGACUUUUUGCACGAGCACAUGAAGAGCCACAACUUUUUCUGCUUCCUGCAGUUGAAACAGAACUGUCGCCACAGCCAAAGCAACUUUGCUGCUUCCCCCUGGGAAUAUCCCUAAAAAUACAGGAAAGAGAGCUGAGAACUGCUUGAGUGUGUGCUGGGAAAGGAAGGUUAUCCUAGGAGCCAGGGCACCUUGAGCAUCAUCCCUCCCUGGCAGCGCCGGGGGCUGGCACAGCUCGGAGAGGAUCCUUGCUUUUUCCAGUGGAUUCAUGUCCAGCAUUCCCAUCCUCAUUAUCAAACCCCAUUCCCAAGAAAGGUACAGCUUGGAUAGAGGAGCUAUCACUGACUGCUGUUCGCUGUGUUUUUGAACAUAUACAAUUCUUUUCAUCUGAAGCACACCAGGUAUGCAGGUUCAGCCUCUGGAACUGUGGACAUUCCCUCCCAGGACAUCCUGACCACAUAGAAUCUGACAGUAAUGGCACUUCAUUUCACGAGCAAGCCUUUCAUCAAACAAGUAUUACUUUCUGCCAUAGAGAUAAUUUAUUCUUUAUGUAUAAUUGAUUUGUGCCUGCACUUAAAAAUGUCUUUUGAAAUCCAUAUUAUAACUAAUACUGUCAUAUAAUAAAAAGCAACACUUUUAAUUUAAAGUUAAUUAU